rnacentral:rRNA from 1 species
UACGUAGGGUGCAAGCGUUAAUCGGAAUUACUGGGCGUAAAGCGUGCGCAGGCGGUUAUGCAAGACAGAUGUGAAAUCCCCGGGCUCAACCUGGGAACUGCAUUUGGGACUGCAAGGCUAGAGUGUGGCAGAGGAGACUGGAAUUCCCGGUGUAGCAGUGAAAUGCGCAGAUAUCAGGAGGAACACCGGUGGCGAAGGCGGGUCUCUGGGCCGAUGACUGACGCUGAGGAGCGAAAGCGUGGGGAGCAAACAGG